GACGGAGGGUGCUAGCGUUGUUCGGAAUCACUGGGCGUAAAGGGCGCGUAGGCGGCCCUGGCAGUCGGCUCGUGAAAGCCCGGGGCUCAACCCCGGAGGUGCGGCCGAUACUCCAGGGCUGGAGGCCGGAAGAGGAGGGUGGAAUACCCAGUGUAGAGGUGAAAUUCGUAGAUAUUGGGUGGAACACCGGUGGCGAAAGCGGCUCUCUGGUCCGGUCCUGACGCUGAGGCGCGAAAGCGUGGGGAGCAAACAGG
rnacentral:rRNA from 1 species